rnacentral:rRNA from 1 species
AUCUGGGCGGCGGAAUUCAGGAUGGCCGGCGUGCUCUCGCGGUGCGUUGGUCGUUUGAUAUUUCCGUCGCCAACAAUCGCAGACGUCGCGACCUGUUCGCGGUCGGUCCUUGCUCGGAGGAGCCGCGUUCGAGCUCGUUGUGUGCGCGUUUCGGCGCGUCACACGGCGAAGGUGCGGAUCUCUGGCUGGCCGUCGGACAGUAUGCUUAACGGUGUCCGGUGUCGUCGUCUCGUACGCGCGGCAUCGGUACCGGUCAGCGACGAAUUCUUCGGGCCUCUUUCCGACCCGUCUUGAAACACGGACCAAGGAGUCUAACAUGCGCGCGAGUCGCGGGGUAUCGAGCGUACUUCGGUGCGUUCGUUAUGUUGCGAAACCCGUACAUGUCGAAGGCGUAAUGAAAGUGAAUGGGGAAGAUGGUGUUCCGAGUACACGUUCCGCGAUCGUCGGUAUCGCGGCCGGACACCCGCAUUCCCGGGGCGUCUCAACGGCCCGUCGCUGAUGCGGACUGUCGUCUUUCGGGGCGGCUGUCGGUCGGCGACGAACCGA